rnacentral:tRNA from 1 species
GUUCCUGUAGCGCAAUGGAUAGUGCGUUGGACUUCUAAUCCAAAGGUUGUGGGUUCGAAUCCCACUUGGGAGG